rnacentral:rRNA from 1 species
UACGUAGGGGGCUAGCGUUGUCCGGAUUUACUGGGCGUAAAGGGCGCGUAGGCGGCCAGCACAAGUCAGUUGUGAAAUCUCCGGGCUUAACUCGGAAAGGUCAACUGAUACUGUGCGGCUAGAGUGCAGAAGGGGCAACUGGAAUUCUCGGUGUAGCGGUGAAAUGCGUAGAUAUCGAGAGGAACACCGGUGGCGAAGGCGGCGACCUGGUCCGAUACUGACGCUGAGGCGCGAAAGCGUGGGGAGCAAACAGG